rnacentral:rRNA from 1 species
GAUCCUGGCUCAGGAUGAACGCUAGCUACAGGCUUAACACAUGCAAGUCGAGGGGAAACGGACAUCGAAAGCUUGCUUUUGUAUGGGCGUCGACCGGCGCACGGGUGAGUAACGCGUAUCCAACCUGCCUACCACUUGGGGAUAACCUUGCGAAAGUAAGACUAAUACCCAAUGACAUCCCACGAAGACAUCUGAAUGGGAUUAAAGAUUUAUCGGUGAUGGAUGGGGAUGCGUCUGAUUAG